ensembl:lncRNA
CCCCUACAGUCCGCAUACACACUCACGCCCCGGGGGCGCGGCCGCCACGUGGGGAGUGGCGCGGGGGUGGUACUGGGACCGCACCCCCUCUCGUCCUGGCUGCGUGGGCCCGCUUUCCCCGGUCUCUGGAGACUCCGAGCCCGGCGGGUCCCACGCUCCACGCGAGCAGAAUUCCCGCAGGUCUCCCGCCCGGGUGGCCAGAGGCGGUGGCGGGGAUGGCGGGCUCCGGGAGGCGCUCCGGCUCCGAGAAGCCGCUUAGCCCCGCGCUCCUCCCUCCGCAGUGCCGCCGCCGGCGGGCCGGGAUUCCCGCGGGUCUCGGCGGCCGCGAGCUGCAGGCGGCGCGGGUCCCCGGCUCGGUUGGUCACCUUGCCCGCCUCGCCUCCCACGGCUUCCAGCGGGCGCGGAGCUCUCCUCUGCGCGCCUCCCCGGCCCGUCUCGGUUUCCCUUCUUCGUCCUCUAGACCAUCCAGCGCAACUCCGUCGACCUCCGCGGCCCUGAGAGAGCAUCCGGCGCGGGCAGAGGCGUACCGGCCCGACCUCACGCCUCUCAUGGACUCUUCUCCAGGGUACCAUGGCCCAGGUUGCUGCCCUGACUCUUGGAGUACUCCUGGAGCCGGACCCACCUGCCCUUUGCUGCUUGUCUAUUUCUCCCUUCUCCUUUUCCUUGUCUCAUCUUCAUUUCUUUUUCUAUUCCUCCUCCCCAUUCCCCUUCCUUUCUCCUCUUUUCUCUCUCCUUUUCUUCCCUUUUCACAGCUCACUUGAGAAGACCUGGCCUUGGGCUCUGGAGGUGACAGAUGAACCCUAGAAGCCCUCCAGAGAGGGGCUCCCCACUCC